rnacentral:rRNA from 1 species
UACGUAGGGUGCAAGCGUUGUCCGGAAUUAUUGGGCGUAAAGAGCUCGUAGGCGGUCUGUCGCGUCGGCUGUGAAAACCCGGAGCUCAACUCCGGGCCUGCAGUCGAUACGGGCAAACUGGAGUGUUGCAGGGGAGACUGGAAUUCCUGGUGUAGCGGCGAAAUGCGCAGAUAUCAGGAGGAACACCGGUGGCGAAGGCGGGUCUCUGGGCAACAACUGACGCUGAGGAGCGAAAGCGUGGGGAGCGAACAGG